UAGAAUUAAUGAAUGGGCGAUGGUAAAUUCUUUAUUUGAUGAUGAUAAUGAGUAGUUACACAUCAAUCGCAUUGUCAUAUAAGUGCAACAACAAUGUGCUUGGCAUGAAUGAUGAUAAGGUUUCUCUGAUUUUUUUUUUUUAAAGAUUUUUUUGGGAUUAGUAUCAGACGUCUAGCUGAAUGAAGUAGUAGAUCUAUUCAGCAUAACUCCAGAAUAGUUUGGGAUUACUGGAUUGAGACUAAAACAUCAAUACCAGUAAAUAUCUAUUAAUCUAUAGAAUACAUGCAUAGAAUGAAAGGGUUCCCUUGCCAGAGUGCCAUUACGUUGUACCAGAGUGCCAUUACGUUGUAAUUGGUAGUUACAACGUAAU
rnacentral:misc_RNA from 1 species